GAGGGGAGACACUGAGAAGUCAGGAAACAUCUGUUCCAAAUGGCGUCCCCAGAAGGAUUUGGAGUACCAGUGACUUGGGUUAUCUUUGCAGUUAGGGAAGAAGGGAACACAUCCCAGGAUCCCUUGCUCUGCUUUCUAUGAAGACAUGGAGACGUGCGGGCUUUAUUUCCCAUCUCCCAGCCCCGGGUGCCUCUGUGAUGAAGCCUUGACGGUUUUGGCUGCCCUUUCUCGACUUCUGUUGUUUUCUGGGGCUCAGUGGGAUCAGUAUUCUGUGCCGUGGCAAGACAUGCCAACAAAUUGCAUCACUUCUGCCUCGGUGACCAAGGACAAUGACAUGCCAUAUGCCAGCGGCAGGAAAUGAAUGGGGCUCAUUUACACUGGCACCGGGUGAUGCGGCCAUCAGCUUCCUGAGACUGUCUGCAGCAAAUUGGAAGGUGGCAGAGAGGCGGAACCCCUGGGCUCCCAGCUACAGGACAGAGAAGGUGUGGUUGGAAGUACCUGGUCCCACAGGGUGGGGUGUCCUUCCUGGAGGAACUUAAGCCUUCCCGUCUCCGAGGAGGCCCUGAAUCAGGUCAGCAUCUGCUCCCUGCACUGAAGGGAAAGAAAGGGACUGGGUGUAGCAAUGCCUUCCAGCUGCUGGACAGAACAAAAACUCAGUGGGUGCCGUGCACAGAACAACUGAAGCAUUUGCUUGUGCAAGCGGCCUGCCACAAAAGCUUGCCCUGUCGGUGACCCCAUGCCUGGACCCCACCCCGUGACGGCAUAGCUCACACCAUCCGACCUCCAGCCUCUAUGGCAUCUCCUUGUUUAUCUUCACACAUGGACUCGGGGACUCAGGUAACCAGGGUCUCUCUUUCACUAAGCUGGACUGCACCUUGAAACUGUGAGCCAAAGUUAACCCUUUCAUAACAUGCCGUUUACACUUAAUUUUUCACAGCAACCAAACAGACUCUGGAGCCAGGAAGCUCAGUGCUUGGGUCUGCUGCAAACUGCUGGAAGCGUAAAUGGGAAGAAAGUUCUCUCUGCAUAGCUCACAGCUCUGCACUGAUCUCAGCGCUGUCGGAAGUGUGUACCGGGAUUCCGUCUUUCUCACUUGUUUUCUGUGCUCAGGGCUGUUGCAGGCAAAGGUCUUUUGCUAACGAGGCGAGCAACGGGAGAUGGUGAGAGUUGGUCGAUGGCAGUUGAGAACAGGACAUGAAAAGAUGUUUCCAUACAUUGCCGAAAGAGAAAGAGGAGGAACCAUCAGAGUGUGGGAGAAGGAAUGAUGCCCAUGACUGAUCCAAGGAUGCUCUGGGUGUUAGCUCCAGCAGACAGUGCUGGGUGCAUGCUUGCUCAGCGCUUGUAUAUGCUGACCCCUAACCUUGCUGACCCAACCCUUGCAGAUAGAAGUCCCUAACCUUGCUAUCCCAACCCUUGCUAAUGAUGACCUGUAACCUUUCUAUUUCAGCCUUUGCAGAUGUGGGCCCUUGACACUGUAAUCAUCUUUGUUAGGUGUGCAAAAGAUGACCCUCCGAACCAUAUGAACACAGUUCUGGGAACUGUGCCCUCUAUGUUCAAACUAAUAUAAACAAGAAUGUAAGGAAAAGAACCCCA
rnacentral:sRNA from 1 species